ACCAGCCGCUAGCUCUCUGCAACUCUCACAUGGUCGCCCACUGAAGCUAAGCAAGGCUGAGCCUGGUCAGUACCUGGAUGGGAGAUCACAUGGGAAAGCUGGGAUGCUGCUGGAA
ensembl:rRNA 5S_rRNA 5S ribosomal RNA